AUAUAGAAAGUCAUACGUGACAAAAAAAACGAAUAUGAAGACGAAAGAGAGUCACAUACCGACAGGGAGGUGAAAGUUGAAAAAAUAGGUGAAAGUCGAAGAAAAUAGGGAAAGUCGCAAUGGUUUGCAGCAACUCCGGCGAGGUGAAAAAAAAAAGAAAAAAAAGAUGAAGACGUGUAAGUGGUAGGUUGAAGGUAUGAAAUGAAAGAAAUAUGAGAAAAAAUUUGGAUAUAAAGUACAACUUUUAAAGAGAUUGUUGAAUGAUUAUUGUAGAAAAAAGAGUGGAUGUAUUCCCGGCAAGAUAAAUGAUUGUUGAAAAAGAUUAGACGUGUUUCCGGCGAGAUGAAUGAUGCAAAACACAAAUGGGCUUCCCGACGAGUUGAAAAAAAAGGGAAGAGGUGCGCGAAGAAAAGUGGGUGGAGGUGAGAGUACGUGAUAAGUGAGGUAUGGAGGGAAAAGGUACUUGACAAGUGAAGUACAAAUUAGUUGAUAAAGUAGAUAUAAGUAGGGAGAAAAGUCAUAGCUAGGUGUGGAAGGAAUCUUUAUUUUAUGGAGAUGUGUACACAAACUAAAUAAAAGGAUAGACGGCUGAGAUGUGAAAUGGAAAGAUCAAGCAUUUUUGAGCUCACCAUAUGAUGAGCUCGUGUGAUAAUUCGUGUUCAAUCGAUAUGUUUUAAUUUGAAAUGUUAUUAUUUAAAAUAAUUUAAAUAUCUUUACUUAUUUAAUUUAAAAUAUUCUCAUUUAACAUAAUUUAAAUAUUCUUAUUUAUUUGAUAUAAAAUGCCAAAUUUUAACAAAAGAUAAAUUUAACCUAAGAAUGAGCAUAGGUCAGGUAGUUCGGGCAAUUCGUGUCGACACGAUACGAACACGAUUGAUACGACUGAUUUUUUCAUUGACACAAAACGAC
rnacentral:lncRNA from 1 species